rnacentral:rRNA from 1 species
AUUGAACGCUGGCGGCAUGCCUUACACAUGCAAGUCGAACGGUAACGGGUCCUUCGGGAUGCCGACGAGUGGCGAACGGGUGAGUAAUAUAUCGGAACGUGCCCAGUAGUGGGGGAUAACUGCUCGAAAGAGCAGCUAAUACCGCAUACGACCUGAGGGUGAAAGGGGGGGAUCGCAAGACCUCUCGCUAUUGGAGCGGCCGAUAUUAGAUUAGCUAGUUGGUGGGGUAAAGGCCUACCAAGGCAACGAUCUGUAGUUGGUCUGAGAGGACGACCAGCCACACUGGGACUGAGACACGGCCCAGACUCCUACGGGAGGCAGCAGUGGGGAAUUUUGGACAAUGGGCGCAAGCCUGAUCCAGCAAUGCCGCGUGCAGGAAGAAGGCCUUCGGGUUGUAAACUGCUUUUGUCAGGGAAGAAAUCUUCUGGGCUAAUACCCCGGGAGGAUGACGGUACCUGAAGAAUAAGCACCGGCUAACUACGUGCCAGCCGCCGCAGUAAGAC